rnacentral:rRNA from 1 species
CCUGGUUGAUCCUGCCAGUAGUCAUAUGCUUGUGUCUCAAAGAUUAAGCCAUGCAUGUCUAAGUUUAAGCAAUAAACGGUGAAACUGCGAAUGGCUCAUUAAAUCAGCUAUAGUUCAUUUGACGGUACCUUACUACAUGGAUAACUGUGGUAAUUCUAGAGCUAAUACAUGCUGAAAAAUCCCGACUUGUGGAAGGGAUGUAUUUAUUAGAUCCAAAACCAAUGGCUCCGGUCCAAUAUGGUGAAUCAUGAUAAUCAUGCUCGAAUCGCAAGGCCUUGCGCGCCGAUGCUUCAUUCAAAUAUCUGCCCUAUAUCAACUUUCGAUGGUAGAGAUAGAGGCCUACCAUGGUGAUGACGGGUAAAGGGGAAUAAGGGUUCGAUUCCGGAGAGAGGGCCUGAGAACGCCCCUCAGGUCUAAGGACACGCAGCAGGCGCGCAAAUUAUCCCCUGGCAACACUUUGCCGAGAUAGUGACAAUAAAUAACAAUGCAGGGCUCUUAUGGGUCUUGCAAUUGGAAUGAGUACAAUUUAAAUCCCUUAACGAGGAUCAAUUGGAGGGCAAGUCUGGUGCCAGCAGCCGGGUAAUUCCAGCUCCAAUAGCGUAUAUUAAAGUUGUUGCCGUUAAAAAGCUCGUAGUCGAACUUCGGUCCCUGUAAGCCGGUCCGCCUUAUUGGUGUGUACUUGCUUUGCGGGGACUUACCUCCUGGUGAACUGCCAUGUCCUUUACUGGGUGUGGUAGCAAGCUAGGACGUUUACUUUGAAAAAAUUAGAGUGUUCAAAGCAGGCCUAUGCCCGAAUACAUUAGCAUGGAAUAAUCGAAUAGGACGCGCGUUCCCAUUUUGUUGGUUUUUGAGAUCGCCGUAAUGAUUAAAAGGGAUAGUUGGGGGCAUUUGUAUUCCGUCGUCAGAGGUGAAAUUCUUGGAUUGCCGGAAGACAAACUACUGCGAAAGCAUUUGCCAAGGAUGUUUUCAUUGAUCAAGAACGAAGGAAGGGGGAUCGAAAACGAUCAGAUACCGUUGUAGUCUCUUCUGUAAACUAUGCCAAUUGGGAUUAGCUCAGGAUUUUUAAUGACUGAGUUAGCACCCGAAGAGAAAUCUUUAAAUGAGGUUCGGGGGGAGUAUGGUCGCAAGGCUGAAACUUAAAGGAAUUGACGGAAGGGCACCACCAGGUGUGGAGCCUGCGGCUUAAUUUGACUCAACACGGGGAAACCCACCAGGUCCAGACACAAUAAGGAUUGACAGAUUGAUAGCUCUUUCUUGAUCUUGUGGUUGGUGGUGCAUGGCCGUUCUUAGUUGGUGGAGUGAUUUGUCUGGUUAAUUCCGAUAACGAACGAGACCUUAACCUGCUAAAUAGUCCCGCCGGCUUUGGCUGGUGGCUGACUUCUUUAGAGGGACUAUCAGCGUUUAGCUGAUGGAAAGUUUGAGGCAUAACAGGUCUGUGAUGCCCUUAGAUGUUCUGGGCCGCACGCGCGCUACACUGACAGAGCCAGCGAGUGUUUUCACCUUGGCCGGAAAGGCCUGGGUAAUCUUGUGAAACUCUGUCGUGAUGGGGAUAGAACAUUGCAAUUAUUGUUCUUCAACGAGGAAUACCUAGUAAGCGUGAUUCAUCAGAUCGCGUUGAUUACGUCCCUGCCCUUUGUACACACCGCCCGUCGCUACUACCGAUUGAAUGGCUUAGUGAGGCCUUUGGAUUGGCUAUGGGAAGCCCUUGCGGAAUUCCCACUGCUGAGAAGGCUGUACAAACUUGGUCAUUUAGAGGAAGUAAAAGUCGUAACAAGGUUUCCGUAGGUGAACCUGCGGAAG